ACUCCUACGGGAGGCAGCAGUGGGGAAUAUUGGACAAUGGGGCGCAAGCCUGAUCUAGCCAUGCCGCGUGUGUGAAGAAGGCCCUCGGGGUUGUAAAGCACUUUAAGCGAGGAGGAAGGUCAUCAUACUAAUAUUAUGAUGAAUUGACGUUACUCGCAGAAUAAGCACCGGCUAACUCUGUGCCAGCAGCCGCGGUAAU
rnacentral:rRNA from 1 species